UACAGAGGUCUCAAGCGUUGUUCGGAUUCAUUGGGCGUAAAGGGUGCGUAGGUGGCGCUGUAAGUCAGAUGUGAAAUUUCGGAGCUUAACUCCGAAACUGCAUUUGAUACUGCGGUGCUUGAGGACUGGAGAGGAGAUUGGAAUUCACGGUGUAGCAGUGAAAUGCGUAGAUAUCGUGAGGAAGACCAGUGGCGAAGGCGGAUCUCUGGGACGGUACUGACGCUGAGACGCGAAAGCGUGGGGAGCGAACAGG
rnacentral:rRNA from 1 species